GACGAACGCUGGCGGCGUGCUUAACACAUGCAAGUCGAGCGGUAAGGCCCUUUCGGGGGUACACGAGCGGCGAACGGGUGAGUAACACGUGGGUGACCUGCCCUCAGCUCUGGGAUAAGCCUGGGAAACCGGGUCUAAUACUGGAUAUGACUCCAUGACGCAUGUUGUGGGGUGGAAAGCCUUGUGCGGCUGAGGAUGGGCCCGCGGCCUAUCAGCUUGUUGGUGGGGUGANGGCCUACCAAGGCGACGACGGGUAGCCGGCCUGAGAGGGCGACCGGCCACACUGGGACUGAGACACGGCCCAGACUCCUACGGGAGGCAGCAGUGGGGAAUCUUGCGCAAUGGGCGGAAGCCUGACGCAGCGACGCCGCGUGAGGGAUGACGGCCUGUGU
rnacentral:rRNA from 1 species